GUAGGUAUGUGAGUGUAUGUGUGGGUGUGAGGGUGGGUGUGUGGGUGGGUGUGUGUGGGUGCUGCAUGCUUUCCUUUCCUACCACAAGCAGUGCUAUGAAUAAAUUAUGACAAAUAAA